GGAUGCCUCCCGAGUGCAUCC
rnacentral:rRNA from 1 species